UUGUAAAGAAAUGAACGAAAGAGAACAGGUCACCGAGCACAUAGCCAGCUAAUGAAUGGGAAAGUGUGAAGAACUUCAGACCGCACCAGAAUGAAAAGGCACAGCCUGAGGAUGGCAGGCAGGAAUGUCAGGUUUUAGCAGAACUCCCGACAAUCAUUGUGUUCUGUUGGUCCCCAUGCCCACCUGGUCCUGCCAAGCCUUCCCGUAUCUGCAAUGGGAAUAUCUGAACCAGGUAGGCAAACUGUGAGUUUGAGCAUUCCUAGCUGUGUGUGCUUUCCUGCCUGGACUUCGGACUCCAUGUAAACUGUGUGCUCCUAUCUGUGUACAAAGGGCAACAGAUUCUGGAAAACAAGUCAGACUUGCCCCUGUUUACCACAAACCGGCCAGCUAACAAGUGAAGGGUUGUGAAACUGGGUAUUCCAGGUCACCUGUCUACAUGCAUCAGAGCAGUGGCCCUGUGGAGAUGGAGCCAUCUUCUGGGGAACAAGGAGCUGCUGGGCUGUGGGAUAUAUUGUAUAUCACCUGCUCUGAUGGUGUCACGAGCUUUUACGCUCAGGUCUCUCGCUAUGAGAAUGGAAAAAUGACCUUAAAAUGAAGUCUGCAGGUGAAUGACUGGGUCAGUUUGCUGUUUCAGAGAUUUCUCCGUUUUUUUCUUAUCCAUCGUAGUAGACACAAGCUGCCUUCAAAAUUGUAGACAUUGACUUGCUUGGCAAAGCUAGUACAUUUGUAUGUCUUUCAAAAUCAUCACAUCGAAAGACUAUUGAUUGGCUCUGACGUCAGCUGUACCUGGGGGUGGCAAGCAUUGUCUCACAACAUCAGGGCUUUGGCCAAGGAUGAAAGGGAAAAGACAGAUCUUCAGCAGGGCACUACUGGG
rnacentral:lncRNA from 1 species